rnacentral:rRNA from 1 species
UACGGGGGGGGAAGCGUUGUUCGGAAUUACUGGGCGUAAAGGGCUCGUAGGCGGCCAACUAAGUCAGACGUGAAAUCCCCAGGCUCAACCUGGGAACUGCGUCUGAUACUGGAUGGCUUGAAUCCGGGAGAGGGAUGCAGAAUUCCAGGUGUAGCGGUGAAAUGCGUAGAUAUCUGGAGGAAUACCGGUGGCGAAGGCGGCAUCCUGGACCGGCAUUGACGCUGAGGAGCGAAAGCUAGGGGAGCAAACGGG